GACGUAGGGUGCAAGCGUUGUCCGGAAUUAUUGGGCGUAAAGAGCUUGUAGGCGGUUUGUCGCGUCUGCCGUGAAAAUCCGGGGCUCAACCCCGGACUUGCGGUGGGUACGGGCAGACUAGAGUGUGGUAGGGGAGACUGGAAUUCCUGGUGUAGUGGUGAAAUGCGUAGAUAUCGGGAGGAACACCAGUGGCGAAGGCGACUACCUGGCCUGUUUCUUGACGCUGAGGCGCGAAAGCUAGGGGAGCAAACGGGG
rnacentral:rRNA from 1 species